AUGACACCAAGCCUAGAGCCAACAGAUGGGGCAGCGACGAUCAUGGGUGCCGACGACACCAAGCCGCGUGAGGGUGGAUCCGGCCACCCUAGCUUCGGGAGCGGUGGAUCUGCCUACGCCAGCCUCGGGAGCAGUGGUGCCUCGGCGAUGGCGGCAACACCGGCUAGGGUGAAAGAGACGACAGUGGCAACCCGCGCGACGGCGGAAACGUUGCCCCAGGCCAAAGAGGUGGAUCUAUCACCCACGGCCCCAGUAGAGGUGCUGUUUGCGGCGUCGACAUUGUUGAUGGCGGAUGGGAGCUAGGGUUUUGGUU
rnacentral:lncRNA from 1 species